AUGAUUUAUAUUGCCUGCUCAGUGAAUUAUUUUAACAGCCGCGCAAGUGCUAAGGUAGCAUAAUAAUUAGUUUCUUAAUUGGGAACAAGAAUGAAAGGUUUCACUAGGAUAGCAGAUAGUUUUACCUAAAGUGAAUUUUUACUAUUGGUGAAAAUACCAAUGUUAGCCAUUAAGACAAAAAGACCCUAUGAAGCUUUAUAACGAAUACAAAUUACAAUCACGCAUAUGUUAUUUUUUUGGGGUAAAAUUAAAUAAUUUUAUUUAGAUCGAUUAGUUUAGUAAAUCCUUUUUGAAAAAUGAACUAGCUCCUCUAGGGAUAACAGCAUUAUUCUGAUGAGAGACCCUAUCGGAAUCAGAGUUUGUGA
rnacentral:rRNA from 1 species